UACGUAGGGUGCGAGCGUUGUCCGGAAUUAUUGGGCGUAAAGGGCUCGUAGGCGGUCUGUUGCGUCAGGAGUGAAAACUCGGGGCUUAACCCCGAGCCUGCUUCUGAUACGGGCAGACUAGAGGUAUGCAGGGGAGAGCGGAAUUCCUGGUGUAGCGGUGAAAUGCGCAGAUAUCAGGAGGAACACCGGUGGCGAAGGCGGUUCUCUGGGCCUUACCUGACGCUGAGGAGCGAAAGCGUGGGGAGCGAACAGG
rnacentral:rRNA from 1 species